AGAACGAACGCUGGCGGCGUGUUUAAGACAUGCAAGUCGCACGGGACUAUUUGAGUAGCAAUACAAGAAUAGUUUAGUGGCGCACGGGUGAGUAACACGUGAAUUACAUGCCCUGCAGAGGGGAUAGCCCAGGGAACUUGGAUUAAUACCCCAUGGUAUCGCGAGAUUAAAGGUGGCCGCAAGGCUGUCGCUGCAGGAUUGGUUCGCGCCCUAUCAGCUUGUUGGUGAGGUAACGGCUCACCAAGGCUACGACGGGUACCUGGUCUGAGAGGACGAUCAGGCACACUGGAACUGAGACACGGUCCAGACACCUACGGGUGGCAGCAGUCGAGAAUAAUUCACAAUGGGGGCAACCCUGAUGGUGCAACGCCGCGUGGAGGAUGAAGGUCUUCGGAUUGUAAACUCCUGUCAUCCGGGAGUAAGACCUGGCGAUGAAUAGUCGACAGGGUUGAUAGUACCGGAAGAGGAAGGGACGGCUAACUUCGUG
rnacentral:rRNA from 1 species